CUUCUGUCCUUGAAUAUAUACUUUUAACAUUAGUUUGCCAGUGGAUCACCAAUGGUUGUCCCAUAUAUGGAUUCUGAGAUUUUGCGGCGAACUUGCCGCAAAAUUUUGCUGUUGUUCACCAGAAGAUCGCCGCUGAUUGUCCAUAUUUGGAUUAUGAGAUAUUGCGGCAAGUUCGCCGCAAACUUUUGCUGUUGUUCACCAGAAGAUCACCGCUAGCGGCGAACAACCGCAAACAAUUUUUGAAGUCUUUGGCGAACAAAAUAAGUAGCCGCAGGUUUGCUGCAAGGUUGCCGCAAGGUUGCCGCAAACUUUUCAGUUUGG
rnacentral:lncRNA from 1 species